GUUAUAUGGUCAAGCGAAUAAGCGCACACGGUGGAUGCCUAGGCGGUCAGAGGCGAUGAAGGACGUGGUAGCCUGCGAAAAGUGUCGGAGAGCUGGCAACAAGCUUUGAUCCGGCAAUAUCCGAAUGGGGAAACCCACUGCUUCGGCAGUAUCCUGCAGUGAAUUCAUAGCUGCUGGAAGCGAACCCGGUGAACUGAAAUAUCUAAGUAACCGGAGGAAAAGAAAUCAACCGAGAUUCCCUAAGUAGUGACGAGCGAACGGGGAGCAGCCCUUAAGCUGGAAUGGCUUUAGAAAAACAAUCUGGAAAGAUUGGCCAUAGAAGGUGAUAGCCCUGUAUUUAAAAGGGCCACUCCAGUGAAGACGAGUAGGGCGGGGCACGUGAAACCCUGUCUGAAUAUGGGGGGACCAUCCUCCAAGGCUAAAUACUCCUGACCGACCGAUAGUGAACCAGUACCGUGAGGGAAAGGCGAAAAGAACCCCGGAGAGGGGAGUGAAAUAGAUCCUGAAACCGUGUGCGUACAAGCAGUAGGAGCUCGCAAGAGUGACUGCGUACCUUUUGUAUAAUGGGUCAGCGACUUACUGUUCGUGGCAAGCUUAACCGUAUAGGGGAGGCGAAGGGAAACCGAGUCUGAUAAGGGCGCAUAGUCGCGGGCAGUAGACCCGAAACCGGGUGAUCUAGUCAUGGCCAGGGUGAAGGUGCCGUAACAGGUACUGGAGGCCCGAACCCACGUCUGUUGCAAAAGACGGGGAUGAGCUGUGAUUAGGAGUGAAAAGCUAAUCGAACCCGGAGAUAGCUGGUUCUCCUCGAAAGCUAUUUAGGUAGCGCCUCGGACGAAUACUACUGGGGGUAGAGCACUGUUAUGGCUAGGGGGUCAUCGCGACUUACCAAACCAUUGCAAACUCCGAAUACCAGUACGUACUAUCCGGGAGACACACGGCGGGUGCUAACGUCCGUCGUGAAAAGGGAAACAACCCAGACCCACAGCUAAGGUCCCAAAUUCACUGCUAAGUGGAAAACGAUGUGGAAAGGCAUAGACAGCCAGGAGGUUGGCUUAGAAGCAGCCACCCUUUAAAGAAAGCGUAAUAGCUCACUGGUCGAGUCGGUCUGCGCGGAAGAUUUAACGGGGCUAAGCAGUGAACCGAAGCUUGGGGUGCAUAAAACUUGUUUUAUGCGCGGUAGAGGAGCGUUCCGUAAGCCUGCGAAGGUGGAUUGAGAAGUCUGCUGGAGGUAUCGGAAGUGCGAAUGCUGACAUGAGUAACGAUAAUGCGGGUGAAAAGCCCGCACGCCGAAAGCCCAAGGUUUCCUUGCGCAACGUUAAUCGACGCAGGGUUAGUCGGUCCCUAAGGCGAGGGCGAAAGCCGUAGUCGAUGGGAAGCAGGUUAAUAUUCCUGCACCUCGCGUGAGUGCGAUGGAGGGACGGAGAAGGUUAGGUGUACCGGGCGCUGGUUGUCCCGGGGAAAGGCGGUAGGUUUGGAUCUUUGGCAAAUCCGGGAUCCUUUAAGACCGAGCACCGAGACGAGCCUUUAUGGCGAAGUCACUGAUACCACGCUUCCAGGAAAAGCUCCUAAGCUUCAGCUCACGAAGACCGUACCGUAAACCGACACAGGUGGGUAGGAUGAGAAUUCUCAGGCGCUUGAGAGAACUCGGGUGAAGGAACUAGGCAACAUGGCACCGUAACUUCGGGAGAAGGUGCACCCUUUUUGGUGGCUCAUGCGAGCUAUAGCUGAAGAGGGUCGCAGAAACCAGGCCGCUGCGACUGUUUAUCAAAAACACAGCACUCUGCAAACACGAAAGUGGACGUAUAGGGUGUGACGCCUGCCCGGUGCUGGAAGGUUAAUUGAUGGGGUCAGCCGCAAGGCGAAGCUCUUGAUCGAAGCCCCAGUAAACGGCGGCCGUAACUAUAACGGUCCUAAGGUAGCGAAAUUCCUUGUCGGGUAAGUUCCGACCUGCACGAAUGGCGUAACGACAGCGGCGCUGUCUCCACCCGAGACUCAGUGAAAUUGAAAUCGCUGUGAAGAUGCAGCGUUCCCGUGGCAAGACGGAAAGACCCCGUGAACCUUUACUAUAGCUUUACACUGAACGUUGAGUUCGUCUGUGUAGGAUAGGUGGGAGGCUAUGAAACUGUGGCGCUAGCUGCAGUGGAGCCAUCCUUGAAAUACCACCCUGUCGUGCUUGACGUUCUAACCUAGGUCCGUUAUCCGGAUCAGGGACCGUGUAUGGUGGGUAGUUUGACUGGGGCGGUCUCCUCCUAAAGAGUAACGGAGGAGCACGAAGGUACGCUCAGCGCGGUCGGACAUCGCGCACUGUGUGCAAAGGCAUAAGCGUGCUUGACUGCAAGAUCGACGGAUCAAGCAGGUACGAAAGUAGGUCUUAGUGAUCCGGUGGUUCUGUAUGGAAGGGCCAUCGCUCAACGGAUAAAAGGUACUCCGGGGAUAACAGGCUGAUACCGCCCAAGAGUUCAUAUCGACGGCGGUGUUUGGCACCUCGAUGUCGGCUCAUCACAUCCUGGGGCUGUAGUCGGUCCCAAGGGUAUGGCUGUUCGCCAUUUAAAGUGGUACGCGAGCUGGGUUCAGAACGUCGUGAGACAGUUCGGUCCCUAUCUGCCAUGGGCGUUGGAAGUUUGAGAGGGGCUGCUCCUAGUACGAGAGGACCGGAGUGGACGAACCUCUGGUGUUCCGGUUGUCACGCCAGUGGCAUUGCCGGGUAGCUAUGUUCGGAAGCGAUAACCGCUGAAAGCAUCUAAGCGGGAAGCGCGCCUCAAGAUGAGACUUCCCGGGGCACAAGCCCCCUAAAGGAACCAUGUAGACUACGUGGUUGAUAGGUCAGGUGUGUAAGUACAGCAAUGUAUUGAGCUAACUGAUACUAAUGAUCCGUGCGGCUUGACCAUAUAACCU
rnacentral:rRNA from 1 species